rnacentral:rRNA from 1 species
GACAGAGGAUGCAAGCGUUAUCCGGAAUGAUUGGGCGUAAAGCGUCUGUAGGUGGCUUUUUAAGUCCGCCGUCAAAUCCCAGGGCUCAACCCUGGACAGGCGGUGGAAACUACCAAGCUGGAGUACGGUAGGGGCAGAGGGAAUUUCCGGUGGAGCGGUGAAAUGCGUAGAGAUUGGAAAGAACACCGAUGGCGAAGGCACUUUACUGGGCUAUUAC